GCUUCCUUGAUACUUUCCCGAGAUCGUCAUUCCGUAGCGAGUCUUCUCCUAAGUAUUGAACUUGAUCUCGAUUCAUUUUUUUCUUGCUUUUUCAUGUUUUCUUCUGCGGGGUUUUGCACGAAACUUGGAUGGUUCUUCGGGUCUUGGUCAACAAUCAUGUUAGUUCGUCAGAAUCGAGACUCGUUUAUUGCCAGAUGGAAUGAUUUUGGACACCACGCCAAGCCUGACGCCGACCCAAUUCCUGGAACCACUGCUCCUGGGGAGGUAUUGGUUCUUGUAUUCUUUAUUCCCGUCUGUAAAAAAAUUGUUAUGUGUGGGGUUUUAUGGCUUCCAACUUCGCAUUUCGCACUUCUUCUUCAGUUUAUGAUUAAAAGAACUUUUUUUUUUGGCUAGAAAAGCUUUUGCUUUGAUUAGAUUGGUUGAGUUACUGCGUGUUAGGUUUUUGUUAGGCUGUUUGGGUCUCGAUCGACCACUUUCUCUAUUUCGACAAUCUUCUUGAAGUUGGCCAUAGUGGAGCAUAUUUUUGGUUCUCUCUAAUCUGAUCUGAUGAAUAUAGUGCACACUGAGCAUCUGUUUGUCAGGUCACAGAAGUUUAUUUUCGGUUUAUGAAACUGAUAGUGUUUUGGUUGGUAUUCGAAUUAUUUGUUGUAUUUGGUGAAGGCUGAUGUUGAAUGAUAUGGGAAGGAAUCGAUCCGGUGAUGUUCAACGUGGUUAGCAUGGAAGUGAAGUGAUAUCGAGGAUUAAUUGAUAGUGGUGGAGUAGUCAUGAUUCAGCAGAUCACUGGUGCACGAUGUAAUGUGAAGUGACAGUAGCAAAUGAGAUGGAAGACCACGGGAAUGAAGACAAGGGUUGGUAGGUGGAUGAAUUUCACAAGAUAAAGUAUAUAAUUAUGUCAAGUUAUAGAGAAACCCGAAAAUGUUUCAUUACAAUCCACAAAGAAUCUUUAAAAGUUUCAUCAAGAACACAUCACAUUUCGAAACAUCUUCAUAGAAACCUAACUAGGGCACCAUUGAUGCAAACAAAAGGAAUUCUAGAAGAGAAAAAAGAAACGAUGAAAGGGCACUCUGCAGAGUCUCCAAUUCAGUAUCUGAAGACAGCAUAUCAUUUUUUGCUGGACAAAGGUGCCAAAUUUCUUUUUGUGAUAGUUGGCCUAGAUAGGGAUUUCUUUUGUUUAAAAGUGGUGGCCAAGGUUUAAAAACCAUGUUCUGAUGAGAAGCAAAUUGGCCAGUCUUGGAAGGAGGCAACAUGAACUUGUGAAUGGAAACUCUGCUUUGAAGUAAAAUUGCACCAUAGAUUCUGGUACACUUUUGUCAGAAUUUUAUGCUUUCUAUUUCCCUGGACUUCAUGCAUCAGUAAUGGGCCUAACAGGAGCAUGUGACUACUUGGCUGGUGGAAAUCUUUGCAUCCAUUUGCUCUGGUUUGAGUAUGGUGCAAAGCGUGGCAGUGGGUGAUGCUGUUGCAGAAGCCACAGUUGAGAGUGAAAGUAAUGUUCCAGCUGAAACCUCCUUGACCAAUAUUUUAGGCACAAUUUAAAAGGUUCUAGAAUUCUGACAGAUGUCGGACACCCAGUUUAAGGAAAAAUAUGAAUAUAUGAUCAUUAUGGAUAUCAUGAUUUCAGUGGCAUAUCAUUAAAUAGAAUGAUAAGUUCUGUCUUUUUCACACAAAUAAUAUCUACAUACAUUUGUUAGCUUGAUAAUCCUUUGCAGUAUCUUCUCUUUCUCAUGAGAUAGAAGACACUCAUGAUGCUCGAAUAAUGAUAUAAAUUGAUUUUAUAAAUUUCUAACCAGACAAGUUUUCUGAGUUCCUGCAUGUAUUUUUUUCUGCACUGAUGGUACAUUGCUCAUGGCCAUUAACCUUUUUUUUUAAUUAUUUAAUCACGGUUUCUGAUUCUAGGAUGCUCUUCAUCCUAUGUUUGUUCAAUCUCAACAUACUGUUUCAUCCUUGUUUGACUAGAUUUCAUCCAAGAAUUCAAGCACUUGUUGGUUCUGUGGUCUUAAUAUAAUAUUUUGUGACCGACCAUGAGCCUCUUGUCUUCCUGUUUUUCAGGUGAAGUUAAGAGAAUUGUCUCAGGUAUUAAACAGCUUCUUCUCUGAACAAAUGCAAGCUUUCUGUUUCAUAUGUUGCUUAGACUGUUUCCGGUUUUUUUUUUUCCUUUCUUUUUCCUAAUGCAGAGGUCUUAGGUUGACAAUUGACUUAUUGUUUUUGUUCUUCAUUGCAGAUUGGUUUUUGGGUGAGGCAGAGACUCCCACCUUCCUGUUCUUUUUUGUUUGCAUAAGCUAAAAUAUUCUUG
rnacentral:lncRNA from 1 species